ACUGACACAAGUAACUUUCACUUUUUAUUCAUAAACAAAAAAAAGCUAAGCAGGGUUUGUACUUGGAUGGGAGACCACCUGGGAAUACCAGGUGCUGUAAGUU
rnacentral:rRNA from 1 species